CCACACGUGAGAUCAGAACUCAACUCACCCUCCUCAAGGUCAGCACAUUCUCUAGAAGAAGAGUAAAAGCAUCGCCCUCUUGCUGCAUCCGGGGUCGAAGACUCACUGCUCCUGGGGCCGGGACCAGGCAGUGCCACUCAAGGGGGAGUCAGGCGAGGAGAGCUGAGAGCAGCUGCUCGUGACGACACAGCAGGGAAGAGUGGGUGGAGAGCCCACAGGCCCACAGGUGGCCCCGAAGCCAGAGUGGGCGGUCCGUGUUCCUGAGGGGGUGGGAGAGCUGCCUCAUCAAAGUAAGUGAGCACCGCUGUGUCCCCUCUCACUCAGCUGCCGGUGCUGUGUCCACACAGGGAGGGAGCCUUCCAUAUCGGAAACCUGGUGAGCCCCUGACCACACUGUCCAGCAGAAGGCGAGGAUGACCACUGUGAUUCUGGUAUCUAAUAGGAAACUGAGUCCAAGUCAGCUGGGAAACUCUGAUUGAAAGACCCCUCCCCGUCCCUCCCAGGAUGAGGUCUGCUGGGAGACCAGGGAGAACAGAAGCUACUGGAUCCUCAGCCUGGCCAGUGGAGGGAGGGCCUGGCUCACACAGCGCCUUGAGCACAGAAGGGCACUGCCGGACGAGCAGCAUCGACUCAGAUUGCCCAGUAUCCACAGGUGGUCCAUGGAUCUGCAAGGAGGCUGCAGGACUCACCUGUGAAGUCUUCACUGCGGACUUCGGAGCUUCUGUCCUAGAUGUCCGUCUGUCUCCCCAGGCUCAGGACACCAUCAGCCUCUGCUUCCUCGGAAGAGGGCGAGCUCUGUUCCCUUCGCUCUGUCUCCUGAAGUUCCGCAGACACAGGGCCCAGAGACCCCAUGGGCGCUCUUCAGUCUCGCUGCUGCUCCUGUUCGCUUCUGCCGGACCGCUCCAGGGCGCCUGUCCUCCGGUUCGGGGAUUCCUUCUUCCGCUCAGUCUGUUACUGGAAUUCUGUUGCAUUCUUGUCAGGAACCACAUUUUCAGCUCUAAAGUUUCUGUCUGGC
rnacentral:lncRNA from 1 species